rnacentral:rRNA from 1 species
ACAGAGGGUGCUAGCGUUGUUCGGAAUCAUUGGGCGUAAAGGGCGUGUAGGCGGUUUGUUAAGUCAUGUGUGAAAUCCCUCGGCUCAACCGGGGAACGACGCAUGAAACUGGCAAGCUAGAGUACCAAAGAGGGUGGUGGAAUUCCCGGUGUAGCGGUGAAAUGCGUAGAUAUCGGGAGGUACACCUGUGGCGAAGGCGGCCACCUGGUUGGAUACUGACGCUCAAACGCGAAAGCUAGGGGAGCGAACGGGA